CUGCUGCACGGUCGCGCACGCGCAGUUGCCUGCAAAAACCCGGAAGCAGAGCGAGGGGCACAGUCCUCGGUUUUUCUGGUUCAACCCGGGUAUUUGGGACGCCCCCAAGCCCUUGAUCUGCCACACCUGAGGUUCAGGGGUUGUCACGUACGUUAAAACCCCUUCAUCCGCUUGUUCCGCGCCUGAGAUUCCCCUUCAAAUAGUCACGUGGAAUGGAACCUCCAUAAUGUUUAAAGUGCCUCCGGUGAUUCUGAUCUGUACCCAGCUUUGAGCACCAAGGCUCUGGCUCCUCCAUUUAUGAAGCUGAGAUCAGCCCAUGAUCCAGAGAGGAUUGACUUCUCAAGACUGAUCUUUGCCUGAGGAAGAAAUCUGGAAGAGGAGGGAGAGGAAAGAACAGGAGUCAGGAAUGGCUCUUUCUCAGUGGUUGAGAAUCCGCCUGCAAAUGCAGGGGACACGGGUUCGAUCCCUGGCCCAGGAAGAUCCCACAUGCCACGGAGCAACUAAGCUCGUGUGCCACAACUACUGAGCCCGCGUGCUGCAACUACUGAAGCCUGUGCGCCUAGAGCCCGUGCUCCACAAUGAGGGAAGCCACUGCAAUGAGAAGCCUGCGCACCGCAACGAAGAGCAGCCCCCGCUCGCCGCAACUAGAGAAAGCCCGC